rnacentral:rRNA from 1 species
AGCCCACCAGCUAGCUUCAUUUAACUUUCAACUCAAAUGUAUAUCUACCACUAAAAGUAUUAUCCGACAUAAAACAAACCAUUUUUCCUCUCUAGUAUGAGCGACAGAAA